rnacentral:lncRNA from 1 species
CUGGAGCUUGGGUCUCUGUCCGGAGGGUGGUGUCACAGGAAGAGCUGGAGCUGAGAGUCGGGACUCCGGGGUCCCUUUAGGGGGCGGCCCGCCCCUGGCUCUCAGGGGUCUCCAAGCGCAGUGUUCUCCUGCUCUCCUUGGGCAUCGCUCAAUCCCUCCCGUAUCUGAGGGUCGACCAUCCCCCCGAUCCCGCGGUGAGCUUGCAGCCCUGACAGCCUUACUGGAGAGUGGGAGUGUGGGGACCAGCAGAGAGUAAUGAUUUUAGUUAUACCAUGCGCCCUCAUUUUACAUUGGAGAAACUGAGGCCCAGAGAGAGAAAGUAACUGGCUGCAUCGCAGCCUGCAGCACCGCUCCCCUCUCACACACACACGCAUACUCCCCCUUAGCUCUCCUGGUCAACCCCGUCCCAUGCCAAGGAAGGGAAAAUUAAGUGCAUGUGAGAUCAAUGGUGACCUUCUUCGGCUCUGGCUGCCAUAGCAGCGGCUGUGCCAGCGACCAAGCUCCCCUUUCACGGCCUUCUGCCAGCCCUCAGGCUCCCAGGCUACUUCCAGCCCUGUACGGAAAAGGGCAGCCUGGGGCUCCCAGGCCAAGGGGGAAGGAGAUGCAGGUACACUUCUCCCUCAUGCCUAGGCCUGGGAUCCUUUAGCUAAAGGAAUGAAGAAAAUUGAGGCUGAUAUUAUCACACUGGUCAAGAAAAAGAAAGAAUAGAAAAGAAAGAGAGAGGAAGGAGAGAGAGAGGAAGGAGGGAGGGAAGGAAGGAAAAAAGGAAAGAAAGAAAAAGAAAAGAAAGAGAAAUGAAGGAAGGAAAGAAAGAAAAGAAACAAGGAAGGAGAGAGGAAGGAAGGACGGAGGGAAGGAAGGAAAGAAAAGAAAGAGCUGGGAGCGGUGGCUCACACCUGUAAUCCCAGCACUUUGGGAGGCUGAGGCAGGCUGAUCACCUGAGGUCGGGAGUUCAGACCAACCUGACCAACGUGGAGAAACCCCGUCUCUACUAAAAAUAGAAAAUUAGCCAGGCGAGGUGGUGCAUCCCUGUAAUCCCAGCUACUUGAGCGGCUGAGGCAGGAGAAUCGCUUGAGCCCGAAAGGCGGAGGUUGCAGUGAGCUGAGAUCACGCCAUUGCACUCCAGUCUGGGCAACAGGAGUGAAACUCUGUCAAAAAAAAAAAGGGAGAGAGAGAGAAGGGAGGGAGGGAGGGACGCAAGGAGGGAAAAGAGAAAGAAAGAGAAAGAAAGAAAGGAAAGAAAAAGAGAGAAAGAAAGGAAGGAAGGAAAGAUGAAGGAAAAUUGAGGCUGAGGAUCUGAGAUAGUCUGUAUAUGUAGCAACCUCUUUCGGCCACCACAUGGUUUUACUCCCUCAAUCUGCAGAGCUGUGCAGCAUUCUACUCCAAUGAUCAAGGACUCAGAAGAUCUUGUAUCUGGAAACUCAUGCUCCACCUGCAGCAGACCAGAGACCCUGGGGAAAUUCAUUUUGUUACACAGAAGCAGCCCUUUGUAGGGAGAGAGCAGUGAGGACAGUCCCUACAAUAGUGGCUGGGAGAUAAUGGCAGAGCUCAGGAUCCCUGUCCUCUACUGGGGAGAAAGGCAUGUAAGAAGAUGAGAAUGCCGAGUGUUAAAUGAGAAGGUAAAUGCACAGAGAAGGGGCACCAGAACCAGGACAAAGGGGUAGGACAGGCAUUCUAGGGAGAGGGGACAGCGUGUAAUCAAUGGCAUGGAGGCAUGAACAGCACAGCAUGUGUAUGUAGGGCGGCCAGUCUGGAAAAGCAGACAGCUUUGUGCAGAGAGGGCCUUGUAGGUUGUGUGGAGGAGACCACAUUUUAACCUCAGGGCAAUGGGAAGUCAUUGAAGGUUUGGGAGGUGUGGGGGUCUGUUUUGUGUGUGUACCAUUUAAUCAUUCUGCAAAGUGUACUGAGUGCCCCUUAAGUGGGGGUGCUUUCUAAGGCAUCAUCCUACAAUUAUUCACUGAAAAGAAUGUAAGGCCCCCUGUUAUCUACUCAGUAUUCUAAACUCUCCCUAUAUCUCAUUUAAUCCUCACGAAAGUAUCCAUGAAAUAGAUACAAUUGUUAUCCUCAUUGAACAGAUCAGGAACCUGAGGCUUGAAGAAGUUAGAUGACCUGGUUAAGGCCACUUGACUGGAUUCAAACCCUGCCUGACUCCACAUGACUCCUUUGGGCAGCAUCGUGUGACCACACCACGUAAGAUCUAGGUCCUGCCUUGGAGAGCUGAUGAACCAAACCAGCAGGAAGGUAGACAAGUCCUGAUAAGGACACUUAAAAAAAUAAUAAUAUGGGUCUUGCUCCGUCACUCAGGUUGGAGUGCAGUGGUGCAAUCACAGCUCAGUGCAGUCUCAACCUCCCAGGCUCAAGUAAUCCUCCCACCUUGGCCUCCCAAAGUGCUGGGAUUAUAGACCUCAGACAUGGUACCCAGCCCUGAGAAGGACUUUGAUGAAAAAGUACAUGGUGUGUGGUGAGAGUGGCUCCCAGAGGAGGGGUUGAGUUGUAUUCCAGCAGGGUUAGUUGGAUAGGGGCGGAGGGAAAGUUCAGGACAAGAGAACAUCUCACAAAAGUGAGAACUUGUAGAAUAUCCUGACUUGUUAGGUGAAUUGUAGGCAGUCUUUAUGUGGUCAUAUGUGUUGGGGGCAGGAUGGGGAAGGCGAAUUCGGUCAGAUGCCGCCAACGAGGCAGCAGGAGCCAGAGCACUAAAGGCCUUGAGUGCUGACCUAAGGGAUUGAAAUUCCUCCUGCAAGUAGCAGGGGGCUACUGAAGCUUGAAGUGAGGUAUGACACAAUCUCAUUUUCAUCUUACAAGCUCAUUUUCAUGACUGCAAUAUGGGCAAGAAAGACAGGGUAGUCCAUUGAGUAGAUUAUUCCAGAAAUCCAAGUUGGAUGUAAUGCAACUUGCUGAACCACUGAACCAGAGCAGUGGUUACGAAGAUGUGGAGGAUAGAUUCAAGAGCUAGAAAAGAGAUAGAGGGAUCAGGACUUGGAGUGGUUUCUUUAUUCAUUGAUUCGUCCAUUCAAAAAAUACCUGUUGUGGCUGGGUGUGGUGG